rnacentral:tRNA from 1 species
GGGAAUGUGGCUUAGUUGUAGAGUAUUUGCCUAGUAUGCAUAAGCCCUGGGUUCGAUUCCUCAGUGCCA